GAGCUGGAUGGAGGCCUGGGCAGCUGCCCAGCCGGGGAGGAGCUCUCUGUGCUGGUUGAGGCCUACCCGGGCAUAGCUCAGGAAAACAAGGCUUCAGGGUCCCGCAGGCGGGCUGACUCGGGCAGCUGUCCCCCGGUCUCUCAGGAGCUGGGGGCGGACAGCGGUGCGCACGAUAGAAUAAAGAAAACAGACCAGGAGUCCGCGGUCAGGGGCGCCCUAGGACCCGGAAAGGAGAGGCCGAAAGGUG